GUAGUCCAUGCCGUAAACGAUGAUUACUAGGUGUGGGGGGACUGACCCCCCCUGUGCCGGAGUUAACACAAUAAGUAAUCCACCUGGGGAGUACGACCGCAAGGUUGAAACUCAAAGGAAUUGACGGGGGCCCGCACAAGCAGUGGAGUAUGUGGUUUAAUUCGAAGCAACGCGAAGAACCUUACCAGGUCUUGACAUCCAACUAACGAGGCAGAGAUGCGUUAGGUGCCCUUCGGGGAAAGUUGAGACAGGUGGUGCAUGGUUGUCGUCAGCUCGUGUCGUGAGAUGUUGGGUUAAGUCCCGCAACGAGCGCAACCCCUGCCAAUAGUUGCUACAUUUAGUUGAGCACUCUAUUGGGACCGCUACCGACAAGGUGGA
rnacentral:rRNA from 1 species